rnacentral:rRNA from 1 species
AUUGAACGCUGGCGGCAUGCCUUACACAUGCAAGUCGAACGGCAGCACGGGUGCUUGCACCUGGUGGCGAGUGGCGAACGGGUGAGUAAUACAUCGGAACAUGUCCUGUAGUGGGGGAUAGCCCGGCGAAAGCCGGAUUAAUACCGCAUACGAUCUACGGAUGAAAGCGGGGGACCUUCGGGCCUCGCGCUAUAGGGUUGGCCGAUGGCUGAUUAGCUAGUUGGUGGGGUAAAGGCCUACCAAGGCGACGAUCAGUAGCUGGUCUGAGAGGACGACCAGCUACACUGGGACUGAGACACGGCCCAGACUCCUACGGGAGGCAGCAGUGGGGAAUGUUGGACAAUGGGCGAAAGCCUGAUCCAGCAAUGCCGCGUGUGUGAAGAAGGCCUUCGGGUUGUAAAGCACUUUUGUCCGGAAAGAAAUCCUUGGCUCUAAUACAGUCGGGGGAUGACGGUACCGGAAGAAUAAGCACCGGCUAACUACGUG